AGCGAACGCUGGCGGCAGGCUUAACACAUGCCAGUCGAGCGGGCAUCCUUGUGGUGUCAGCGGCAGACGGGUGAGUAACGCGUGGGAACGUGCCCUUCGGUUCGGAAUAACUCAGGGAAACUUGAGCUAAUACCGGAUACGUGCGAGAGCAGAAAGGUUUAUCUGCCGAAGGAUCGGCCCGCGUCUGAUUAGCUAGUUGGUGAGGUUAUGGCUCACCAAGGCGACGAUCAGUAGCUGGUCUGAGAGGAUGAUCAGCCACACUGGGACUGAGACACGGCCCAGACUCCUACGGGAGGCAGCAGUGGGGAAUAUUGGACAAUGGGGGCAACCCUGAUCCAGCCAUGCCGCGUGAGUGAUGACGGCCUUAGGGUUGUAAAGCUCUUUUCUCCGGGACGAUAAUGACGGUACCGGAGGAAUAAGCCCCGGCUAACUUCGUG
rnacentral:rRNA from 1 species